rnacentral:rRNA from 1 species
GAUGAACGCUGGCGGCGUGCCUAAUACAUGCAAGUCGAGCGAACAGACGAGGAGCUUGCUCCUCUGACGUUAGCGGCGGACGGGAGAGUAACACGUGGAUAACCUACCUAUAAGACUGGGAUAACUUCGGGAAACCGGAGCUAAUACCGGAUAAUAUAUUGAACCGCAUGGUUCAAUAGUGAAAGACGGUUUUGCUGUCACUUAUAGAUGGAUCCGCGCCGCAUUAGCUAGUUGGUAAGGUAACGGCUUACCAAGGCAACGAUGCGUAGCCGACCUGAGAGGGUGAUCGGCCACACUGGAACUGAGACACGGUCCAGACUCCUACGGGAGGCAGCAGUAGGGAAUCUUCCGCAAUGGGCGAAAGCCUGACGGAGCAACGCUGCGUGAGUGAUGAAGGUCUUCGGAUCGUAAAACUCUGUUAUUAGGGAAGAACAAAUGUGUAAGUAACUAUGCACGUCUUGACGGUACCUAAUCAGAAAGCCACGGCUAACUACGUG